GCCCUCCAGAUGUUUUGGGACUUCAGCUCUCAUGAUCCCCAGCUAGCAGGACCAGUGGUCAGGGAUGAUGGGAGUUGUAGUCCCAAAACAUCUGGAGGGC